AGCUAAGCGCAAGCAGCGAACGUGUCUGACACGCUUGAAAUAUUGCCUCAUACCUGUACAUGCGAACGAGGUGAGCAAAGUUUCGAGCGUUUUAGACUGUUACGGUCUAUCGAACAGAUUCC
rnacentral:precursor_RNA from 10 species